rnacentral:tRNA from 1 species
GGGCCUGUAGUUCAGCGGUUAGAGCCCUCCGCUCAUAACGGAGUAGUCGUAAGUUCAAAUCUUACCGGGCCCA